AAUGAACGCUGGCGGCAUGCCUUACACAUGCAAGUCGAACGGCAGCAUGACCUAGCUUGCUAGGUUGAUGGCGAGUGGCGAACGGGUGAGUAAUGCAUCGGAACGUGCCUUUUAGUGGGGGAUAACGUAGCGAAAGUUACGCUAAUACCGCAUAUUCUCUGAGGAGGAAGGCAGGGGACCUUCGGGCCUUGCGCUAGAAGAGCGGCCGAUGUCGGAUUAGCUAGUUGGUGAGGUAAAGGCUCACCAAGGCAACGAUCCGUAGCGGGUCUGAGAGGAUGAUCCGCCACACUGGGACUGAGACACGGCCCAGACUCCUACGGGAGGCAGCAGUGGGGAAUUUUGGACAAUGGGCGCAAGCCUGAUCCAGCCAUGCCGCGUGAGUGAAGAAGGCCUUCGGGUUGUAAAGCUCUUUCGGCUGGGAAGAAAUCGCACCCUCUAAUACAGGGUGUGGAUGACGGUACCAGCAUAAGAAGCACCGGCUAACUACGUG
rnacentral:rRNA from 1 species